GUCGGAGUGGUCCACGCGCUGGGCUCGGCCGUCGAGGGGCUGGCCGUGGGGGAGCGGGUCGCGGUGGGCGGGGUCACGCCCUGUUUCCAGUGC
rnacentral:tRNA from 1 species